rnacentral:pre_miRNA from 1 species
AUCACCUGGGGAUCUUGUUAAACCACAGACUCUAUUUUAGUAGGUCUGGGAUGGGGUCCGAGGUUCUGCAUUUCUAACAAGUUCCCAGAUGAUGCUGA